GACGAACGCUGGCGGCGUGCUUAACACAUGCAAGUCGAACGGACAGACGCGGCUCUUGCGGGGUGCUCGAGUGGGGAAGGGGUGAGUAACACGUGAGUAACAUGCCCUUGUCUUUGGGAUAUAUUUAGGAAACUGGGGCUCAUACCGGAUAGGAGCUCUUGCUGCAUGGUGGUGGAUGGAAAGUUUCGGCGGUUGGGGCUGGUCUGGCAGCUUCUCCGCUUGUUGGGGGGGUAGUGGAUUACCAAGCCUUUGACGGGUAGCCGGCCUGAGAGGUGGACCGGCGACAUUGCGACUGAGAGACGGCGCAGACGCCUACGGUAGGCAGCAGUGGGGAAUAUGACACAGUGGGCGGGAGUCUGAGACAGCAGCGCCGCGUGCGGGAUGACGUCCUUCGGGGUGUAAACCGCUUUCGCCGGAGACGAAGCGUGAGUGACGGUAAUGGGUAAAGAAGCACCGGCUAACUACGUG
rnacentral:rRNA from 1 species